ACGCUCGACACCUACGGGAGGCAGCAGUGAGGGAUAUUGGUCAAUGGGGGAAACCCUGAACCAGCAACGCCGCGUGAGGGAUGACGGUCUUCGGAUUGUAAACCUCUGUCCUCUGUGAAGAUAAUGACGGUAGCAGAGGAGGAAGCUCCGGCUAACUACGUGCUAGCAGCCGCGGUAAUCUGAGCGGCUGGCAAGGC
rnacentral:rRNA from 1 species